AUAAAAUAAAAUAAAAAAUUCAUUUGCUCUUUAUAAUUUAAUACAUAUCUUUUUACUGUUACUGUAAUUUUCUUGAUUGUUGUUAUAGUUCUUGACUGCAGUAGAGCCCUUAAGAUUAUGAAGGGGACGGCAUGUGCAAUUCAGAAGCUGCGUAGGCAAGAGCCACCGCUCAUCCAUGGGGAUUUAAGGCUCAACAACGUUUUGUUGGAUAAGGUGACCCACAAAAUUAUCUAAUAAAGACCAUACUAAUAAAUUAACCACUGUUCUGGGCUACUGUUCUUGAACAGGAUUUCACUCCCAAACUAGCUGAUUCUGGUAUGGUUACUUCGGAGGGAGAGAAUUUACAGUCAAGAACCAGACUAGAAGACAUUUACGGCUUAGGCGUGAUGACAUUACAAGUAAUGAUGAAGAAAAAGAAUGCCUCAUUGCUGCCUGGAGUUAGAAUUCCAUGGCACAUAAGCGAGCAGGCAAGCAGAAUUUACUUACAACAAAAGCAUGCAGUGGAUUUAGCAUUAAUAACCACGGGAUGCACCAAAAGAGCUGCCACUGCAAUUAGACUGUGUCGAGGCCAAAGCAUCUGAGCGCCCAACCAUUGCUGAAGUCAUUCUUAGGCUUAAAAAUUUACAGGCCAAGAAACCCUGAUUAUACAGAAACUUGCCAUCACAAAAAUGAAUUACUCCACCACAUAAGAGAAAAGUUAAGUAAGAAAUUAUAACUUCUCCUACACUACUCUUUGUAUAUAGUCCUUCAAAGAGUUUUAACACAGAUGUAUAUCCAAAAUUUCAAUUUGAAACUUUAGUUAAGUUAGAAUAGACUCUUAACAUCUCAUCUACGUGCCUUUAGAUUAUAUAUGACUUAUAUUUUAUUUAAUACUAUAUCUAAAAAAGAUUAAUUAAAAUUUUGAGAAAGAAAAAAAAGAAAAGUAAAGAAAACUAAGCCAGCUGUAUGGGAUAGUUUGUUACGUAUUUGUUAUUUGUUUUUUUUCUUUUCUAUUUUUUUGUUCCUAUCUUUAGAUCAGUUUUUUUGUUAUUAUUCCUUUUGUUCCCUUUUGUAAUCUCGAACUAUAAAUAAGAGAUAAGCAUAUGCUAUAAGUGUUUUUUCUUUGUGCCAUUAAUCAAUUUUCUUCUUUGUUUCUCUUCAUGGUAUCAGAGCGGUUAGCUCGAAACAGGAGAUUCCAUUUUUGCAAAUAUAUAACCAUUGUUGCUGAUUCUUCAAACAGCAGCCAAAAAACAAAUCAUUCACAAAACAAUGAUUCACCAGGAAUGCCUCUUAUUUCUACUCUAAUGAAUGAAAAUAAUUACAUACCUUGGAGUAGAUCUGUGAAACUAGCUCUUGGAGCUAAAGACAAACUCGGUUACAUCAAUGGUGAGAUUGCAAAAUCAGCAUCAACUGCUAAGAAAUAUAAAAUGUGGAAGAAAACUGAUUGUCUAGUAGCUGCUUGGAUUUUGAGUUCUAUUUCAAAGGAGCAUGCUGAGGGAUUCAUCUAUUGCAGCUCUACUAAGGAUCUAUGGGAAGAAAUACAAUAAAGACUUGAAGAGAGUAAUGGUCCUCUGGAAUAUCAAAUUCAGAGAGAAAUUAAUAAUCUCAAACAAGAUAAUAUGUCUAUGUCUCUCUACUAUACCAAACUGAAGAAAUUAUAGGAUGAAAUGAGUAGUAUGGUGCCUAUACCUCAUUGUGAUUGUACUGGAUGCAACUGUGAUGUUAUGAAACAAAUAAAUGUUAUGAGAAA